CGGGACACGUGGUAUCCUGUCUGAAUAUGGGGGGACCAUCCUCCAAGGCUAAAUACUCCUGACUGACCGAUAGUGAACCAGUACCGUGAGGGAAAGGCGAAAAGAACCCCGGCGAGGGGAGUGAAAAAGAACCUGAAACCGUGUACGUACAAGCAGUGGGAGCACAGAGCAAUCUGUGUGACUGCGUACCUUUUGUAUAAUGGGUCAGCGACUUAUAUUCUGUAGCAAGGUUAACCGAAUAGGGGAGCCGAAGGGAAACCGAGUCUUAACUGGGCGUUAAGUUGCAGGGUAUAGACCCGAAACCCGGUGAUCUAGCCAUGGGCAGGUUGAAGGUUGGGUAACACUAACUGGAGGACCGAACCGACUAAUGUUGAAAAAUUAGCGGAUGACUUGUGGCUGGGGGUGAAAGGCCAAUCAAACCGGGAGAUAGCUGGUUCUCCCCGAAAGCUAUUUAGGUAGCGCCUCGUGAAUUCAUCUCCGGGGGUAGAGCACUGUUUCGGCAAGGGGGUCAUCCCGACUUACCAACCCGAUGCAAACUGCGAAUACCGGAGAAUGUUAUCACGGGAGACACACGGCGGGUGCUAACGUCCGUCGUGAAGAGGGAAACAACCCAGACCGCCAGCUAAGGUCCCAAAGUCAUGGUUAAGUGGGAAACGAUGUGGGAAGGCCCAGACAGCCAGGAUGUUGGCUUAGAAGCAGCCAUCAUUUAAAGAAAGCGUAAUAGCUCACUGGUCGAGUCGGCCUGCGCGGAAGAUGUAACGGGGCUAAACCAUGCACCGAAGCUGCGGCAGCGACGCUUAUGCGUUGUUGGGUAGGGGAGCGUUCUGUAAGCCUGCGAAGGUGUGCUGUGAGGCAUGCUGGAGGUAUCAGAAGUGCGAAUGCUGACAUAAGUAACGAUAAAGCGGGUGAAAAGCCCGCUCGCCGGAAGACCAAGGGUUCCUGUCCAACGUUAAUCGGGGCAGGGUGAGUCGACCCCUAAGGCGAGGCCGAAAGGCGUAGUCGAUGGGAAACAGGUUAAUAUUCCUGUACUUGGUGUUACUGCGAAGGGGGGACGGAGAAGGCUAUGUUGGCCGGGCGACGGUUGUCCCGGUUUAAGCGUGUAGGCUGGUUUUCCAGGCAAAUCCGGAAAAUCAAGGCUGAGGCGUGAUGACGAGGCACUACGGUGCUGAAGCAACAAAUGCCCUGCUUCCAGGAAAAGCCUCUAAGCAUCAGGUAACAUCAAAUCGUACCCCAAACCGACACAGGUGGUCAGGUAGAGAAUACCAAGGCGCUUGAGAGAACUCGGGUGAAGGAACUAGGCAAAAUGGUGCCGUAACUUCGGGAGAAGGCACGCUGAUAUGUAGGUGAAGUCCCUCGCGGAUGGAGCUGAAAUCAGUCGAAGAUACCAGCUGGCUGCAACUGUUUAUUAAAAACACAGCACUGUGCAAACACGAAAGUGGACGUAUACGGUGUGACGCCUGCCCGGUGCCGGAAGGUUAAUUGAUGGGGUUAGCGCAAGCGAAGCUCUUGAUCGAAGCCCCGGUAAACGGCGGCCGUAACUAUAACGGUCCUAAGGUAGCGAAAUUCCUUGUCGGGUAAGUUCCGACCUGCACGAAUGGCGUAAUGAUGGCCAGGCUGUCUCCACCCGAGACUCAGUGAAAUUGAACUCGCUGUGAAGAUGCAGUGUACCCGCGGCAAGACGGAAAGACCCCGUGAACCUUUACUAUAGCUUGACACUGAACAUUGAGCCUUGAUGUGUAGGAUAGGUGGGAGGCUUUGAAGUGUGGACGCCAGUCUGCAUGGAGCCGACCUUGAAAUACCACCCUUUAAUGUUUGAUGUUCUAACGUUGACCCGU
rnacentral:rRNA from 1 species